GUUCUGUGAGCGCUCAGCCGGGUUCUGUGAGCGCUCAGUCGGGUCUGUUCUGUGAGCGCUCAGCCGGGUCUGUUCUGUGAGCGCUCAGCCAGGUCUGUUCUGUGAGCGCUCAGCCAGGUUGUUUGGAAUUUGGGCGGGACGAAGAAGGAGCUGACGAGCUCGGACUUCUCGCCCCGCAGCCCUGGAAGACGUUCCAAGGGUGUUGGGGCCCGACUUUUCGGGGCCCAAUCUGGGAGAGGAGAAAGAUCCGGACUAACGGCACCUCUGUCUGUAUUUUUGGCUUUCAGAGGGCCCCGGACCUUUGCCACCUCCAUCUGACUUUUUGCUUUCAGUUUGGUACCAAAGCCGUGCAGCACGCCUGUCUGUUGUUUGUUUGACUGUUGGUGUUGUUUGUUUUCUCUGUGUUCUAAUCUUCCUUAGAACUAACAUGG
ensembl:lncRNA